AUAGAUUCGUCAAGCAAUUGUGAGGUUAUCGAUGAUUCGCUGCAGUCACGCAAGUUCAAAGAAGAUUCCGCGCUUUUACUCCCGUCUUAUAAAAGGCCUUGUUUUGCAAGCGAAGAGCACAUUAACGAUCUUGAAGCAGAGCCGGUUGAAUAAGUAGAUCACCAUGAAGACCGUCGUUCUAAUCGUUUCUGCAAUCGUUCUAACUGCGAUGGUUGGAUUAUCUUCAGUUCAAGCCAGCGAAAGGCAGCCGGCUUCUCUCGUCGAACGCUUGGCGAACUCUGCGAAUACACGUGUUCGAAGAUCAGAUAGGAGUUUAUCAGAUAUGAUAAUCAAUGCACCCGGUAUACCCUACGACAGGAAGAAAGAGAUGCUCGACCAAAUCCAUGCGAUGAAUAUGAAGAUAAUCGGUAACUUUAACUGAUCGCUUAAUGGACGUUAGUAGUACAUCGUAAAAAUUUGUGCAACUAUGCAUUACCGAUUCGUAUUUCGGUACUUUAUUCUUUCUUUUGUAGCUUUAAGAAUAAUUUGACAUAAGUUUCGAAAUGAAGUUUGAAAAAUUGACGAGUUGCGAAGCUAUCAAUGCUGUAUGGCAAUAAUAAAGUCUUCAGAAGCUGAUAACUUAAUUGCUAAAAAUGAUGAGGCAUUAUGAGAGUUAAAGGAGCCGAAAGUUUUGAAUUUGAAAAAUGUCAUUAAAACUUUUUCUUCGCGAUAAUAUCCAAGAAAGUGAAAUGCAAAGACAGAUUCUCCGUUCUUCGCCAAUUAUUGUAACCCCAUCAACACAAUUUGUUAUUCUUUCGUUUCAAAAUUGUUCUAAGUAUACAAAUGCGAUUAGUGUUAUAAAAUGAUUACAGAAUGUUUUUAAAAAAUUCUAAAAGGUCGUAUCGAACUUGUGAAAUUUUCAAAAUACCGCAUGUAAUAAUGACGAAGGACUUUUUUCGUCUGUAGUUUACUCGCAAACCAAUAUCCUAAAAUGUCUGAAAUUCCGAAACCAACUUGACAUUGAUGAAAUAAAACUGGUCAGCAAAAUUCGUUGGAAACUUGUCACAUCACCUUUUUAAACUUCUUCGGGAAGCGUUGCUUCUUGACACGAGUGACGCAGUUUGUGGCUGUUUCGGGUCUAUCCGGCCCCCCCUUGUGGAUUGUCCCUAUAUUUUUCCACUCUGGCUGUACUCUGGAUAUUGGCCACUGUUCCAAACGCGUUACGGGGAUUACAGAGAACUCCAGAACUCUGGGUAUAAGGCAUUUCACAGGCUUAGCCAAUGUGUAAGCGUGGCGUAACGACUUCGAGUAUCGUUGUCGCAGUUUACAAGGAUAGCGUCCCUAACCCCGGGAUCCCGAAGGGCUCCUUGUUUAGGGAUUCCUAAUACCUGAUCCUUUCCUUGGAUCCUGUAAUUAGAACAUAGGGUCGCGAGUACAUUAUCGGCUUGCCUUACUGGUUUGAGAGCGUUACGGAACCGCUGAUCCGUUUUAAUUAUGGUUGAAACUGAAAUUGACUUCAAGUCUGUUGAAAUUUCUGGUAAGUUUGUAAACUGUUCGAUUCCUUCGACCAUCCACGACUCCGGGUUACGAUUAGAGAAAGAUACUUUCUAAUACAUCGACACAUUUCUUGAUCAGCGAUAUUUUUAGGUCGGAAAUUUUCAAUGUUUUGCAAAGGCAUCGAUAAAAACCCUUUGGACACCUAUUCGAUGAUUUGUUGAUUGAUUUAGAUGUCAAUUGCAUAAAUCCGAGUACGAACCCAACAAAUGAUACCCACGGAAAAGUAGCUUCAAGCCAGCGAUAUUCCGAGAUUGGAUGUGAAAUGUCUUCUUUAAAAAGAAAUACCUAGAAAAGAGAGAAGUAUGACAAAAUUUUUGAAACCUUAAUCACUUCCAAUUCAAAAUACCUCUUUUAUUUUGGCCACACUGGAAGCAUCAAAUUGUACUUCGGUGAAUCACCGUAAAUGAUGAAGCUUUCUUGUUAAUUUCACUGUUUUACGUUGUUUUUGUAAAUUUCGAUCCACAGCUUAUAAGAAUUGAAACAGACGAAUUUUUUCAAACAAUUUUCCGACAAAGUGACCGUCGGCAAACUACUCGCCGCGUUCUCGCGUUAUUUUACCAAUCAGCGACCAUUUCGACACCACCAAAAAUUCCCGCUAUUCCGUGUCGACGAUGCGUAGUUGACGACGAAAUUCCGAAGCGAUUCCAGCGAUGAUCUGACUCGCGAUCUGUAGGUUCCGGGUCGCCGCAGCGUAAGCCGGAUGCUUGCGAUAGUUGACGUAUUCCUGUUGUCCUGCGGUAUUUGGGCCCUGGAUUAGCGCACCAGGCAAGGAAGCUUCACCGGGAUAACCUGACGAGACGAAGUAGGAAGUCGAUGUGCCAGGUGAUCCGUAAGAUAUCGAAAUGCUUCCGGGUACGGAGUAGAACACGGUCUGGAUUCCUGGUCCAGCUGCGAUCCGGAUUAACGAAGGUCCUGCAACUGAGACUGGAAUCAAAUGUUCCAGAACGUAAGGCAAACGCGGUUUCGGUUUUUAUGGAUUAUAAUUUGGUGUCAAUCCAAGACUAUCUGAUGCCUGAUUUUCUAAUUAACGUAGAAAAAUUCUUCUAAGAUAGUUGAGGGGUGGAAAGGAUGAAUUUGAACCUUCGUGAAUCUAAAAUGCAAAUUUUGUUUUCCUGAAAAAUUUCAUCAAAUUUUGAUCCAACUCUCUUGUUCAAACUCGUUAUAAACGGUUCUUUUCAAGUUUCGAGGUUAUGUUUUUUCACCAUUUCUCGAAAGGUUGAAUCGAAUGAGGAUUUUUUAAAAAACCUUUUUCUGAUUUUUUUUUAACGCAUUCUCUUUCGAAAACGAGUAAUUUGCGUUUCUUCUAGCUUUUUUCAUUUAAACAGCUGGUAUUGAAUGUUAUCGCUGAUUGAAAAUACGUUGAUUAUAAGUCAAAAUCAUCAAUACUGAAAGAGUAGUUGAAAUAAAACUACCCAGUGUUCUUCAAACUUGCAGAAAUUGUUUUAUAGCGUGCUAAAAAUUCAGCUAAGGGCAGAUAAUGAUCAAGUUAGCAUGGAAUGCCCUGUACAUUAUUUAUAGCAAUAUAGACUUGACUAUUGAAAAACGCGAAAUUUGUUUCCAGGACUUUGUCCAAAAACAGUCUACUGAAUAAAAUAAAUGAAAUCGAAGAAAUUUACCAGAUUUUUAACAAUAUCAUAACGAUUUGCAACAAGGCAUCGGCAUUAGGGUGGCAUCUGACUUUUUCAUUCAUAGGGUGUACAAUUCGUUUAGAUUGCCGUUUACGAUGAUGUGAAUUCAUUAUCAGAUAGUAGCACCAACGCCCACUAAAAUCAUGCAGUUAAAAUUUUUUUUUUUUCAAUUAUUACUACAAUAAAAUAUGCACUAAGUUUGUACCCGAAAAAUGUCUGUUUUAAAUAGAAAAAUCAAACCUCUUACAGGCAGGGAUUAUAAUCGAGAUAAAAAUGUGAAAAAAUUAAGGAACCGUUCUUUAAUUAACAUAUUUGAAACCGAUUUGUAAGAAGUCUGAUAAAAAACUCGUUCGAACCCCAAUCGAUAUCCAUUCUUUUCUUCAUAAUUUUGAUCCUUUUUAUCUUUGCAGUCUUAAAGCAGGAUCUUCGUAGCAUAGAGAUUUAAACGUUAGACAAAUAUCGCGUUUGGCUCGUUAAUCUCCAGUGUUCCUGGAUCAUACUUGAGUGAAUUUUGGUCCAACGUACCCUGAUUCUGCGGAGGCGGUGUAUUGACAGUGUUCUUAGGAGGAUUGACUUCUCGACCUCCGUGACUCCCGGGGGCGUUAUUUUUCUCGGCUGACUCAACCGCUCCCAUCAUAUCGAUCGUGUUUCUAAUCGCGGAGGCGUGAGAAGCAAGCAAGCUGCAGGCGACGAUCAGAAUAAGUACGCUCCGAAGAUCGUAGCGUCUCAUUUUCCUCAGGUCAACAACACACGCGUGUGGGUGCAAUGUGCGUGAUAAAAAAAUUUUCAUACCCGAAUGUCUCCUUUGCUGGAAGAGAAAAUUUUUAUACUGUGAUCAGAAGAAUGAAACGUUCUACGUUUAUUUUACUUAUUAAUUGAACACCGCAGAUCUCCGAACAAGCAGUCACGAUCAGUUUAAUGACAAGACACUUUGCAUUUUGCACUGUUUGCAUCACACCAGCGACGCCUAAGUUCAGGAGAUAUUCUUGGUCCGAGAAUUUUCACACACGAGAUGAUGCAAUUCAUCGCCUAUAAAGACGUUGGAAUAUUAUUGACGUACCUUAUGUGCGAUCGCUGGAGCUGUUAGAUGCAAGAAAGAAGCGUUGCGGUGAUGUAAACUCGCCUAUGUUCAACCUUCUACUGCAGUUCUUCAACUUCGAUGAAACUGUAUUUAUACGAGUACAGCCGAUCCCCCAUAGCCAGUGUAGUAUAAAAUGCGAAUAAGCAUGGACAUCAUUUAUCCACACCAUUGUAACAUCGAUAGAAGCUCAAACAAACAAACAGGCUGA
rnacentral:lncRNA from 1 species